rnacentral:rRNA from 1 species
AUUGAACGCUGGCGGCAGGCCUAACACAUGCAAGUCGAGCGGAGCGGCGGACGGGUGAGUAAUGACUAGGAAUCUGCCUGGUAGUGGGGGAUAACGUCCGGAAACGGGGGCUAAUACCGCAUACUAUCAGAUGAGCCUAGGUCGGAUUAGCGAGUUGGUGGGGUAAAGGCAUACCAAGGCGACGAUCCGUAACUGGCCUGAGAGGAUGAUCAGUCCACCUGGAACUGAUACACGGUCCAGAUGCCGACGGGAGGCAGCAGUGGGGAAUAUUGGACAAUGGGCGAAAGCCUGAUCCAGCCAUGCCGCGUGUGGGAAGAAGGUCUUCGGAUUGUAAAGCACUUUAAGUUGGGAGGCGUUACCAACAGAAUAAGCACCGGCUAACUUCGUGCCAGCAGCCGCGGUAAUAC